GUACGUUGGGGUCGCUUAUGCCUGGUGAGUAAGUCCAAUACACGCAUGGGUUCCCCACUUUGGACUCUGUCUGGCUGAUACCCUAUGAGGAGAGGUAGCCGUUUGUUGGUGCCUACCCAGGGAUGCCGCGGAGAGCUCCCAGUGUUCACACAGUCUUCUGGGCGACUCGGAAGUGGCAGAGGGUAGAGGCCUUGUCUGUUUUGUCUCUGCUGAGCCCCAACUUCUAACUACACUUGGUCCCCGCAGCUGAUGGCCAGAUUAGCACCGUGAGCUUCACUGUUCAAAGCUGCAGAGGGCAAAGCAGGGGCAUCAGUUAGAUGGUCACCGUGCCCCAUGCCCUAAUGGCAUCUGAAUGACUGGGAUUGGCCACAUGCUUGCAUCCUGCAGGAGCAGCAGCUCACAGCUGGGGACUGACAUGCUGGUAGGAACCCACAGGCCUUUUAUGCUUUAAAUGGCCACAGAUGUCCUGUGAAGGAAGUCUCUCCAUUUUAUAAAUGAGCAAACCAAGGCACAGAGAUCAACUGUGAACUCAGGUGCUACGUAGUGAAGCUGCGGUUGGAAACCAGGUAUCCCAAGGUCAUAAACAUUGUACCUGCGUCCUCUUUCAGAGACUACCAGGUCACCUGCUGUCUGAGACACUUCUGUGCUUCUGGAUUUUGACAGACAUUGUCAAUCCACUCUCCACUCAUCACUCAGUUCCAAGUGGCUCACAGACAGAAAGGAGGCACCAGCUAAUGAAGACAAAUCCACAGAUCAAUAGAAAUGUGGUUGCCGGUGUGGAAACCCUGUGGCCCCUGACCUCGAAUGAGGCGCUCUGGAUAGGAGGAGGGAUGGAUGAGACAUGGACCCCAGAAGAAUGUCUACUCUUCUUUUUCCUUUGUGGUUUGGCGAUGGAAGCCAGGGCCCGGUGCGUGCGAGGCAAGCGCUCCACCAUGGAGCUGCACCCCAGGUCUCCCUCCUGAGUAAUCGGGUACAGCAAUACCGAAAGACUGCCAGAAACGAGGGCUGGGGACUGUGGCAAACCGAGAACACGCCACCAUUAAAAGGGGGUGCUGUUGUUGCCUCCGAGAGGGCGGCAUUGGCAGACCUUCUGAUUUUUAAAAGGAAGCCAGAACUCCAUUCUUUUUUUUUUUUUUUUUAAAGUGAGAAUUCUCUGCAGUUAAAAAAAAAAAAAUUGACAGUGCAUUUUAAGUAGCUAGCCAGAUCAGGUCACUGCUAGAUUGUAACCUGUCACAUAGGUGGUGUCUCAGCCCCCACGGACAGGUGACAUUCUACCUCCUAACAUGGAUGCCCUCCUGCUCUGCCUUGUCUUUCAUCUGCUACAGCCAGCCGGGGCCCCAGCGCCUACAUAUCCUCCCAGGUACUCUGAAGGCUGUGGGGACUCGGGUACCAGGGUGCCAGCCAAUGUGACAAAAGCGGACAGGUCAGAGUCCACAGGGGAAGUGUGCUGCUGUGUGUGUGUGUGCUCCAAGGAGCUUCCAAACUGCUAAUUUCUCAGGAACAGAGAAGGGAAGGAAGGAGGCAGAGCAACAGCUGGCUCUGGGCAGUGAGCAAUCCUGUCUGAAAAUAAAACAUUUUACA